UACGUAGGGGGCUAGCGUUGUUCGGAAUCACUGGGCGUAAAGGGCGCGUAGGCGGCCGAUCAAGUCGGGGGUGAAAGCCUGUGGCUCAACCACAGAAUUGCCUUCGAUACUGUUUGGCUUGAGACCGGAAAAGGUUAGUGGAACUGCGAGUGUAGAGGUGAAAUUCGUAGAUAUUCGCAAGAACACCAGUGGCGAAGGCGGCUGACUGGUCCGGUUCUGACGCUGAGGCGCGAAAGCGUAGGGAGCAAACAGG
rnacentral:rRNA from 1 species